GUCCACGCUGUAAACUAUGGAUACUAGAUGUCGGGAGUUCUUACCCUCUCGGUAUCGUAGCUAACGCGUUAAGUAUCCCGCCUGGGAAGUACGGCCGCAAGGUUAAAACUCAAAGAAAUUGACGGGGGCCCGCACAAGCGGUGGAGUAUGUGGUUCAAUUCGACGCAACGCGAAAACCUUACCCAGGCUUGACAUCCCGCGCUACCCUAUGAAAGUAGGGGUUCCCUUCGGGGACGCGGAGACAGGUGCUGCAUGGCUGUCGU
rnacentral:rRNA from 1 species